rnacentral:rRNA from 1 species
GAUGAACGCUGGCGGCGUGCCUAAUACAUGCAAGUCGAGCGAACAGACGAUGAGCUUGCUCCUCUGACGUUAGCGGCGGACGGGUGAGUAACACGUGUAUAACCUACCUAUAAGACUGGUAUAACUUCGGGAAACCGGAGCUAAUACCGUAUAAUAUAUUGAACCACAUUGUUCAAUGGUGAAAGACGGUUUUGCGGUCACGUAUAGAUGGAUCCGGGCCGCAUGAGCUAGUUGGUAAGGUAAUAGCUUACCAAGGCGACGAUGCGUAACCGACGUGAGAGGGGGAUCGGCCACCUGAGAAGUGAGACACGCACAAUACUACUAAGAGAGGGAGCAGUCGGGAAUCUUACGCAACGGGCGGAAGUAUGACGGAGCAACGGGGCGUGAGUGAUGACGGUCUUCGGAUCGGAAAACUGUGUUACUAGGGAAGAACAACUGUGUAAGUAAAUAUGCACGUCUUGACGGUAACUAGUAAGAAAGCACCGGCUAACUACGUG